rnacentral:rRNA from 1 species
UAUGUGAUCGUCUCUCGCAUAUCAAUAAGCGGAGGAAAAGAAACUAACAAGGAUUCCCUUAGUAACGGCGAGUGAAGCGGGAAGAGCUCAAAUUUGAAAUCUUCAAGGUUUUACCUUGACGAAUUGUAGUUUAAAGAAGUGUUUUCUGUUGAAGUUUUGGUAAAAGUUCUUUGGAAUAGGACAUCAUAGAGGGUGAGAAUCCCGUAUUUGACCAUUAUUUUCAGCUGUGUGAUACACUUUCAAAGAGUCGGAUUGUUUGGGAAUGCAGUCCAAAAUGGGUGGUAAAUUUCAUCUAAAGCUAAAUAUUGGCGAGAGACCGAUAGCGAACAAGUACCGUGAGGGAAAGAUGAAAAGAACUUUGAAAAGAGAGUUAAACAGUACGUGAAAUUGUCAAAAGGGAAGCGUUUGACACCAGUGUUGUUUUCUCGAAAAUCAAUUAAAAAGAGUCUGAUUUUGUUGUGUAUUGACCUUAACAGCUUGCAUUUCAAAUUUCUUGCUUUUUUAAUGCACUUUUCGUUUAACAAGUCAACAUCAGUUUCUUUUGUUGUAAAAAGGUCAUUGGAAGGUGGCUUUCUUUUCGGAGAAAGUGUUUAUAGCCUUUGACUCCUGCAAUCGGAGAGACUGAGGUCUGCAGCGUAGAUCCUUCGGGGUUAGAUACAUUUGUGCUAAGUUAUAGCUUUUUAUAGACAACUUGUUGACUAUGAUUAGUCUUGUAGCUUACUCGCUUAUGCUAUUUUACCUACGCUUAGGAUGUUGAAGAUGUAGCACAUCAU